GCAAAGUCGAGAGGAAGCACCGGCUAACUCUGUGCCAGCAGCCGCGGUCAUACAGAGGGUUCGCGUUGUUCGGAAUUAUUGGGCGUAAAGCGCGUGUAGGCGGCCUAGCAAGUCGGAUGACGAAAGCCCUCGGCUUAACCGAGGGAAGUGCGUUCGAAACUACUGGGCUUGAGUACCGGAGAGGGCUCUGUGGCGGAAUUCCCGGUGUAGAGGUGAAA
rnacentral:rRNA from 1 species